GCCUAACGGCUGAACUGGCAACUUGGAGAAGUGGCAAGUUUUAUAAUUAAUAGUAAUUAAUAUUUCUAUUUUUAUAAAAUUCUAUUAGAAUUGAAUGAAGCUUUGUUUAUAUAUUGAUAAUGACAGUAUAUAUAUCGUGUCUUGACUAAUUGCGUGCCAGCAGUCGCGGUAAUACGUAAGAGACUAGUGUUAUUCAUCUUAAUUAGGUUUAAAGGGUACCCAGACGGUCAAUAUAUCUUCUAUAAUGUUAGUACUUGACUAGAGUUUUAUGUAAGAGGGCAGUACUUGAGGAGGAGAGAUGAAAUUUCGUGAUACCAAAGGGACUCUGUAAAGGCGAAGGCAGCCCUCUAUGUAGAAACUGACGUUGAAGGACGAAGGCACAGAGAACAAACAGGAUUAGAUACCCAAGUAGUCUUUGCAGUAAAUGAUGAAUGCCAUAGGUCAGAUCUAAAUUUAAUGUUUAUAGAUUAUGCGCGAAGCGGGCCUGAAUUGGCAACUUUACAAAAAUUAUAAAUAUUAAAAAUUAUUUGGUCUAUAAAUGAAAGUGUAAGCAUUUCACCUCAAGAGUAAUGUGGCAACGCAGGAACUGAAAUCACUAGACCGUUUCUGACACCAGUAGUGAAGU
rnacentral:rRNA from 1 species